UACAGAGGUCCCAAGCGUUGUUCGGAUUUACUGGGCGUAAAGGGUGCGUAGGCGGUCGGGUAAGUCUGAUGUGAAAUCUCCGAGCUUAACUCGGAAAAUGCAUUGGAUACUAUUCGGCUUGAGGUCUGGAGGGGGGACUGGAAUUCUCGGUGUAGCAGUGAAAUGCGUAGAUAUCAAGAGGAACACCAGUGGCGAAGGCGAGUCCCUGGACAACUCCUGACACUGAGGCACGAAAGCUAGGGGAGCAAACAGG
rnacentral:rRNA from 1 species